rnacentral:rRNA from 1 species
ACGCAACGAGUUUUCCUUGUCCGAAAGGAUUGGGUAAUCUUGAAUGCUUGUCGUGAUAGGGAUAGAUUAUUGCAAUUUUUAAUCUUGAACGAGGAAUUCCUAGUAAAUGCGAGUCAUCAGCUCGCGUUGAUUACGUCCCUGCCCUUUGUACACACCGCCCGUCGCACCUACCGAUUGAAUGGUUCGGUGAAAAUUUCGGACUGCGACUUCUUUUGCCUUGUGCAAUUGAGUCGUGGGAAGUUGUUUAAACCUCAUCAUUUAGAGGAAGGUGAAGUCGUAACAAGGUUUCCGUAGGUGAACCUGCGGAAGGAUCA